GAUGAAUCUUCUGAUGAGUCCAGUAUAGAAAGCGAAGAUUCUGAAGAUAUAGAGUCUUUGAAGGGAGAAAAUGUUUCAAAAGCAAGAAGAAAGCAUACCUGGCUUCCACAAGAGGAUAGAGCAAUAAAAGAUUUUUUCAAAGAGGACAUCAAUGAAUUUUCCAAGUCAGGAAACCAAGGAUCACUGCAUGGAGUGACAAAGAAGAUACACACAUUCAUAUCCAAAAACCCAGAUGUUUUAAAGGAAUAUCCUGAUAAAGUAAAAGUCCACAAGAUUCGUACUAAAGUGAUUAAUCUUAGGCGACAAAGUAGAAAGAA